CACUCUUCGGUAUGGAUUAAAGGGCGGAGGUGGCAUGUUUUUUAGACUAUAUAAGGGGCACUUUUCUCAUAGAUGAACAUCAGUCAAGCUUAUUUGUUUCGUACAACACAGUUUAGAGACGAAAACUGUAUAAAAAAUAUGAAGGCUUUGGUGGCGGCCCUUGCUUUGCUCCUUGUAAUUGCAACCGUGACGUCUGGCGGCGAAUAUCACGGUGGCUGGUAUGAAGAACCAAAGGUUAUCAAGAUCAUCAAGCCUGUUCAUGUCAUAAAAGUCGUCAAACAUGUUCCACCUCCUGUUCCGGUCAUUAAAUACAUCAAACUCUUCCACACCACACAUGUAGGGCAUGGAUAUGGUCACGGCUGGUGAAAGUAAAAAUAAAUCAGCGAAGUUGUAAAAGUAUUAAAUCAUUUGUGCUCAUGUUUUCUGGAGAUUUAUCUGAAACUCAGUAUUCAGAUCCUGUUGCCAAUCUACUUAUUGUUGAUGAACUAUCGCAGUCAGUAUAUGACAGCUAUGUAAAGUAUUUCUGCGCAUGUAAACAAUGACAACCAUCAAGUACAAAGCUACUGAAUGGACAAACAUGUAUAGUUCUCAUUAAAAUAUUGUUAUUUUUUUUUUUUUUUUUUUUUUUGUAAUAAACUAUUUUGUUGUU